CAUUACAGAGUUCUUGCCCUUACGGGUAGAUCUCCCACCCUUGAUAUCUUAUUCUCUUGUUGCUUUGGCGGGACGCAUCUUGCCACAGGCUUCGGCUUGUGAGUGCCCGCCAGAGACCCAAUCAAAACCUGUUUAUGUGUCGUCUGAGUACUAUAUAAUAGUUAAAACUUUCAACAACGGAUCUCUUGGUUCUGGCAUCGAUGAAGAACGCAGCGAAAUGCGAUAAGUAAUGUGAAUUGCAGAAUUCAGUGAAUCAUCGAAUCUUUGAACGCACAUUGCGCCCCUUGGUAUUCCGAGGGGCAUGCCUGUUCGAGCGUCAUUUACACCACUCAAGCCUGGCUUGGUAUUGGAGUUCGCACACCAGCGGCUCUUAAACUCAGUGGCGGCGCCGGUUGGCUCUUCGCGUAGUAAUUCUCUCGCGAUAGGGUCUGUCGGUAGCUUGCCAGCAACCCCAAUCUUUAAGGUUGAC
rnacentral:rRNA from 1 species